UAAGGAUCUAUGAGAUUGAAAAUCAUGCGUUGCUAAGAGAUACUGAGAGUGAAAAAUCAUUUAAGAAAUCAAAGGAUCAAAAAAUGAAACCUUGCAAAAACCCAAGAAAGCAAACAAGGAGAAUGUGAUCUAUAAGCAAGAGACCAUCAAACAGAGACAAAACCACAACAGUAGAACACUCAAAUACCUAACUUCCCCAAGGGAGCGAUGUGCAAGCUCAGCAAUCAAUAUUUAGGCUUCAAAACAGAGUCAAUAGCUCAAAUAUAAGAAAGACUAGUCCUUGAGUAAGUAUAGCUCCCUACUAUAUCUUCUCCAGUGAUAUUUUAUAUCCCAGUAAUCUACGAUUAUCUCCAGUGAUAAACUGAGAAUUAAAGGAGACUCCAGUGCCAAAAAUGGCGAGCAUUGUGAGGAGCAAUUCCCAGAACAAAUUCAAGUUUCGGCAACUCAGAUACAAAAAAAACUCCAAAUCUCCAUGGAAAUUUGUCAGCACAAUCCUCAAUUUUGUAAGGGAAACACAACCACUCCCCAAAACACUCACCUUGAGAAGAUCCAGCGAA